UACGUAGGGGGCAAGCGUUGUCCGGAAUUAUUGGGCGUAAAGGGCGCGUAGGCGGCUUUGCAAGUGACGGGUGAAAUCCCUCGGCUUAACCGAGGAACUGCCUGUCAAACUGCAUGGCUUGAGACCGGGAGAGGUGAGUGGAAUUCCCAGUGUAGCGGUGAAAUGCGUAGAUAUUGGGAGGAACACCAGUGGCGAAGGCGGCUCACUGGACCGGUACUGACGCUGAUGCGCGAAAGCGUGGGGAGCAAACAGG
rnacentral:rRNA from 1 species